AGUGGCAAGAGAGAGUAGAGAGGAGAGGCAAGGAGCAGCAGCAGAGGAAAAUUGUGGAUAUUAUAAGGAAAACUCUGCUGCUUACAGGAGGAGUCAGACCAACCCGAGUUCACUCCUGAGAGGCAAGACGAUAUAAAGAAUCAUUUUACCAUUUUAUGGAGAACAUUGGAGAGAAGCCUGUGUGAGGAGGUCUCCUAGUAUUGAGACUUUCAGCACAAUGGCAGUGCUUGCCACCUACAGAUAUUUUCUGCUGCAUUAUUACUGGAGACGAGCUGGAGUACAGGAAAUUCACUUUGUCUUGUGGUGGAGGGACAACAACCUGCAACUCAACAUCAGCAAGACAAAAAAGAGCUGGUGGAGGAUUUCUGAUGUGCCACCAAGAAGCCUCUGAGACCAGUCACCAUUUGGGGGAGGAUACCAAGUGGCGCAGAGCUACAAAUACCUGAGGAAUGCACAUAAACAACAAACUGGACUGGUCUGACAACACUGUGGUGCUGUACAUGGUGGGCCAAAGCAGACUGGACUUCCUGUGGAGAUUCAGGUCUUUUGAUGUGUGCAGCAAACUGCUGGAAAUGUUCUACCAAUCCAUAGUAGACAGUACUGUAUAUUGUUCUACGCUGCAGUCUUCUUAUCAGGAAAGCCUACUCCAUCACAGGGCAAGCCCUGGACACACUGGAAAGAAGGUGGUGGAAAAAUUGGAUCCUGUCAUGAAAAAUCCUCUCCAACCCCUCCAGGGGUCACUCUAUUGGAGCACUUUUAGCCAUAGGCUCAUUCCACUAUGGUGUUUCUGCCCACUGCAAUUCAGUGCUUCCACCCAAAGUACUUAUUAAAUUUAUUAUUUAUCGA